ensembl:lncRNA
UGCACAAAGAUCGCCGUGCGGCUUAGAAAGCAGCUCUUCUGAGCCGAUCGUUAGAGGGGCUUCCUCUGGGGCCACGCCAUAGCUUAGCACACAGACUGUACCUUUGUGCUUCCUGAAAGAAGUCAGCUCUCCAUCCAGGCUGUUCGUCCAGGCUGAAGCAGCUCUGAAAAUGCAGAGCAGAGGAACUUCCCUGGCAGCGCAGCGGUUAAGACUUCACCUUCCAAUGCAGGCGGUUCAGGCUAAAGGCCGUGGGGUUCCCUGGCUGGUUUGGAACCGGUUCAGCAUCCUGGUGCCGACUGAGGACCUGAAGAGCAGGUGGAGCCUGACUCAGCACAGAAAGGCUCUUUCAGACGCUAAGUCCUUCCUGACUCUGUGUGACCGCAUGGACUACAGCCCACCAGGCUUCUCUGUCCUCCACGAUCUCCUGGCCCGUGCUCCAAUUCAAUUCCAUUGAGUCAGCGAUGCUGCUUAACCAUCUCAUCCUCUGCCGCCCCCUUCUCCUUUUGCCUUCAGUCUUGCUCCUACUCAACCUCCAGGUGGUGACCUAAAGGUCACUUUCCACAGGAAGCUUCUCUCCAUCACCUCUUAGCCUUUUCUAGGUGAAGUCGGCCAGCCACACCCACCCAUAUUGAUUUCUGUGCUUCCUCAAACGUCACUGUGAGUCUGAUUCACACAGCCCAUCCUUGAAUCUGGCAAUUGCUUUAUAGAAACAGGGACGGCUAACCAGCUCACUAUGUUAACCCCAGGCCAGGCAUUGUGGUGUUUGUGGAAUGAUGUGCCGGAUUAAUUCUUUAAUUAGUUUAGCAGGUAAUAAAAUCUUGUGAACAAAAAGCAUGUCUCCUCCAUAGAUGCUAAGUUCAGUUAGUCUCAGUUCAACAAAGCUGGACAAGCCCUCCAAGAGCAUGUUACAUAAACCCCCGAAUGGACCUUGUGUCAAAAUUCUGCUGCCAAAGUGAACAAGAGUCCUAUUUAGAAAAUUCUCUCUUAAGAAGGCUUAUUUCUAUCUGGGUGGGAUCCAAGUUUUGCUGAGGGCUUUAAAUAAUUGGGGAAAGACAUUAUCUUUGGAAACUCUUAAAAAUCCAACCUCUGUCCCUUGAUUCUUGCCAAAUCUCUCCCACAGUUCCCAUUAAAUGGAUUACCCUGUC